rnacentral:rRNA from 1 species
AUGGAAGUUGACACUCGUUGCCCUAUUUGUUAUAGAUUGGAUGAGGAUGGGGGGCACUGUUUCAUCAAAUGCAAGAAAGUAAGAGAAAUAUGGAGAAUGGCUCAACUCGAGCAUGUUAGGCUGCAGCUAAUCCCCUGUGUUAAUGCUUUAAACUUCAUCGAAGAAAUUAUUAAUUUGAGGGAGGAGAUCAAGUUAAAAACAAGUUUAUUACUUUGGCUUUGGUGGCAUGAAAGAAACAAUGCAAAUAAAGGGAAGGCCAUUAAACCAUCGAAUGAAAUUUGCUCUUCUAUUGAUUAUCACUUUAUAAAUGUCAUGAAGGUACAGGAGAAAGGGAAGGGGAUAGCCCAACAGCCAAAGCAAAAGUGGACAAGACCAGCUUCAGGAAUAUUGAAGAUCAACACUGAUGCAGCUUUUCACAGGAUUUCCAAUGAUGGAGGUUGGGGAUUUAUCAUUAGAAAUGAUCAAGGUAUAGCUGUAGCUGCAGGUGCUGGCAAACUGGAACAUAUGGCUGAUGCUUUCCAAUCUGAAGCAGUGGCUAUGUUGUAUGCAAUAAACAUUGCUAGCCAAAUGGGCUGUGAUAGAGCGAUGUUUGAAACAGAUUCUACACAGUUAAGAAGGGCUGUGUCUACUGAGGAAUAUGACCUGUCUGCACUAGGGGCCAUUUUCAGAGAGAUUAAAUUUCAGUUACAUGUAGGUUUUUCAGAUGUAUGUGUUGUAAACUGUUCACGAACAUGUAACCGAGUGGCGCAUAGGCUAGCAGCGUUUGGAGCAACAUUAAACUCUGGUGCAUGUAUUACUUGGCUGGGACAAUUCCCAGAGUUUGUUCAGAACCUUGUAGCUGGGGACUUGCCCAGCAAUGAUAUGUAG